UGCGUAGGUGGUUUCUUAAGUCAGAGGUGAAAGGCUACGGCUCAACCGUAGUAAGCCUUUGAAACUGGGAAACUUGAGUGCAGGAGAGGAGAGUGGAAUUCCUAGUGUAGCGGUGAAAUGCGCAGAUAUUAGGAGGAACACCGGUUGCGAAGGCGGCUCUCUGGACUGUAACUGACACUGAGGCACGAAAGCGUGGGGAGCAAACA
rnacentral:rRNA from 1 species